UUGGAACAAAGCAAAUUUAAG
ensembl:piRNA 21ur-6744 ncRNA